GUGCUCACUUCAGCAGCACACAUACUAAAAUUGGGAUGAUACAAAGAUUAGUAUGGCCCCUGCACAAAGACUACAUGCAAAA
rnacentral:snRNA from 1 species